CAUCGCCAUCGAGGAGAGUCGCGUAGGGAGUCUCUUCUCGGCGCGGGCGCAGCCGAGAGAUAAUUUAAUGAGCGAGGAAUCUGUAGUUUAGUCUACGGCCGUGAAGCCGUAGGACGCGACACAGGCCGAGCGAGCGAGCGAGAGAGAGAGAAGAGGAGACAAAGUGGUAGAAGAGGCGCACGCGAGUGGCACGCAAGCUGUAAUUACCGAUAUCGGCAGCGCGAUCGUUGGCAGAAACGCGCAUCGUCUUCGAGCGAGCUAGGAGAAAGGCGAAGAGACUUGUGAAGAAAGAGAAGAGAGGGAGGGAGAGAGAAAGAGAGAGAAGAGACGAUGGAGAGCGAGAGAUACAAGGAGGGAGGGUCGAAGGUUAUAGCGAAUAUACUCGCAGACAAGCACGCCGAGAUUUCUGCCCACCCCGACGCGCCUCUCUGUCGUCGCUUUAAGUCGCGGUUAAACUUUUAAUAACAGUUCCCAAGCACCGACGAUCAAAUAUUCCCCUACGCUCGCAUCUCUCGUCGAGCUUACAAAACAAAUUCGACUUUGCGAGUUCUCGUUUCCACUUUCAUUGCUCGAUGAAAUUUAUUUUUUAUUCUUAUCGUCGGAGGAAGAAAAAGGAAGUGAAAGUAAGCGAGGAGCAAAAGCGAAUAAUAGUAAACUUCUAAGCGAGCUCAUCGCUCUUAUUGUUAGAACGAGUCCGGAUCGCGACUUUAUAAGGCACGUAGGCAAACGUACCGCGGGCAUGCGCAUCCAUAUGGGUAGGUAGAUAUGACCAUAAACCAUAAAGAUUUCUCUCUCUCUCUCUCGCACGCGGUACCGCAACGUUCGCUUUGAAUCGCCCAUUGACCACCCACGCUGCCCGAAACGUCCUCCCUUAGCGUCUAUCUCUAUUUCUGUAUCUAUCUCGGGAAGAGGACGAUGAGUAGUAGUUUGAGUUUGCGACCUCGACCGUACCAUUACUACGAGAUCGGUCAAAUCUUUCAAAAAGAACGAAUUUAUUUAUUAUCAAUAUGCAAAAUUAGAAAGCUUUUAUUUUCUUUUUCCUCUUUCUUUUUUUUUCUUCUUUUUUUUUUUUUUUUGUUCACAGAUACGCAGAAGUAAAAGAGGAAAUUGGAGAUAAUAAAAAGUAGACCGUGCGAUGUUACUCGUUAAGUUUCGUUUCGCGCUGAAUAAAAUGCCGCGUGAAAAUGCCGGAAGAACGAAUUUAAUGAGGUAGAAAGAGAGAUAAGGCACGUAUCGUCGACUUUCGCGUAUUAGGGUUUAUUCGAACGAUAUAGCAGAUUAAAUUCGAGCCAAUUAAUUGGUUUUGCGCGUGUGACUAUCGCGAGGAUUCCAGCAUAGGUGAAGCUUUCCAAAGUUACUCGCCGUUUUCUACCAAAUUAACCUAAGCUUUUGAUGUAUGCUGAUAUUAGGAUUAUUAAAUAAAUUGAUGGUGAGAAUGCUCGACGUAAGAUGGUACGCGUUGAAAACGAUUUAUGCGCGCGAUCUGACGCGACUAGAAAAUAUAGAUAUAACUCCGUUUGUCUAUUAUACGAAGACGAUUAAUAGUAAAGAUCGACGCAAGAGCGAAAGGGGAAAUAGAUUCGAAUUGGUCGGUGAUACGAAGUCGAGCUUUCCACGAAAAUACUGGGAGGAUCAUGACCGAAAAGGAGACAGAGAGCUUCAUUUUCCAAAAUUAAAGUCGAAAGUUGGACAGUCCCGAUCGAGAGAUUUCGUCCAAUAUGUGGGCAGGAUUUGGGACAGCGGAGCCACUCGUAUUUCAGGCCGGUGAACAAUUUCAGGUCGGCGCUACUAUUGGAACGUCGCAUUUUGGAUUUCAUUUGCAGAGUCGUAAGUUUUCCCGAUUCCAUAAGAGCCAAGAAGGGGCCCUCCGGUUCGCCACUUUCUCUCUCCGCACCGCACCGGCCCGUUACGACUGCGGACGCGUUAUUGGGAGAGACCUGGUCAGCCGUAGUUCCGCGACUGGCUAAGAGUUAUGGACGCGUUAGAUAAAGCUGCUUCCACGUUAGUUCUCCUAAAAUGAGAGUGGGGAAAAAAGGAGAGAUAAAAGGCGCUCGCGCUAAAAGAGGAUCGAUCGAUGCGUUCGAGGAACACAUACGCGCUAAAAGGUCACAUUAGACUCGAUCCGGAUUCGAAGGAGAUCGCAUGAAUCGUUUAGAGAGGCACGCCUUGGACAGCGUUAUUGGUGCGAUGGUACCAUCCAUCGAGAAGGUAAAGGGGGAAGCAGGAUGUUGUUUGGAUGGCUCGUAAGCACGUAGAGUACGGCCGAGUAGGAGCUAGUAGGGCGAAUGAAAGAGAAGAAGGAAGAAGGAAGUGGCGAAAUACGCGAUAAAGCUGUGAAAAAGUACGAUAAAAGUGUACACCAUCGGACGAGGAAUACCCUAUCGAGGCUAGCGUAGAAUUUCACGCUGAGAAAGUUUCUCGCGCGAUUCGCGAGGGCAACCAUGAAAGCUCGUACCGUUUCGGAGCUCUCAGGAAUCUCGAAAUAUCGCUAAAGUAAGUAUCUCGUGCCCAGGGCGGUCGUUCGGAAUCGACGUACGCGUGAAAGAAUGCAACCCUGAACAACUACCAACUAUCCCGUGGAAAUACAUUAAAGGUGCGCUUUAGUUUGCGCGCUAGAAUUAACCGAAAAUUACUUUGUACUCGCUUCAAAUUUGAAAAGUUAUGUGGUUAUACUAUAUUCCUAGGUUAAAAGUUGAAAGUCCAUAAAUUCUAAGCAUUUUUGUUAUUGUCAGUCAAAAUCUUCUUGACCUUUAUACUUUUUUCUUACGAGAAUUUACGAAACUU